rnacentral:RNase_P_RNA from 1 species
UAAGUAAGUUGGGUAGUCGCUCUUGGGAUAGCGAUAUUCCAGGGGAGGAAAGUCCGAACACUUAGUUGAUGGGCACUCUUAAGAGUUCAUCAACAAAAGGUAGCGGGUAACGCCCGUCUGGGGAAACCCACGAGAUGCGAACAGAGACGCCGAGACCCGAAAGGGUCGAGGCGCCCUUCGAAGCCCGAAAGGGCGUAGUAGGGCGAGCUCCGACGGCAACGCCGGAGGUGAAACGGCCAAACUCUUACCCGAGUGCAAGCCUAAAUUUGGUAAGGCGCACGACCCCGAUGGUAACGUCGGGGCUAGAUAGAUGACUACACAAAGACAGAAUUCGGCUUAUAGACUUACUUAGGGC